rnacentral:rRNA from 1 species
UACAGGGGGUGCAAACGUUUGUCCGGAAUUACUGGGCGUAAAGAGCUCGUAGGUGGUUUGUCGCGUUGUUCGUGAAAACUCACAGCUUAACUGUGGGCGUGCGGGCGAUACGGGCAGACUUGAGUACUGCAGGGGAGACUGGAAUUCCUGGUGUAGCGGUGGAAUGCGCAGAUAUCAGGAGGAACACCGGUGGCGAAGGCGGGUCUCUGGGCAGUAACUGACGCUGAGGAGCGAAAGCGUGGGGGAGCGAACAGG